ACGUAUUUGGCAGCGCGUACACUAGAAUUGGUAUAUUAAAGAGAAGAUUAGCAUGGCCCCUGGGCAAGGAUGACAAGCAAAUUUGUGAAGCGGUCCAUAUUUUA